AGUCGAACGAAGUCUUCGGACUUAGUGGCGGACGGGUGAGUAACACGUGGGAACGUGCCUUUAGGUUCGGAAUAACUCAGGGAAACUUGUGCUAAUACCGAAUGUGCCCUUCGGGGGAAAGAUUUAUCGCCUUUAGAGCGGCCCGCGUCUGAUUAGCUAGUUGGUGAGGUAAAGGCUCACCAAGGCGACGAUCAGUAGCUGGUCUGAGAGGAUGAUCAGCCACAUUGGGACUGAGACACGGCCCAAACUCCUACGGGAGGCAGCAGUGGGGAAUCUUGCGCAAUGGGCGAAAGCCUGACGCAGCCAUGCCGCGUGAAUGAUGAAGGUCUUAGGAUUGUAAAAUUCUUUCACCGGGGACGAUAAUGACGGUACCCGGAGAAGAAGCCCCGGCUAACUUCGUGCCAGCAGCCGCGGUAAUACGAAGGGGGCUAGCGUUGCUCGGAAUUACUGGGCGUAAAGGGAGCGUAGGCGGACAUUUAAGUCAGGGGUGAAAUCCCGGGGCUCAACCUCGGAAUUGCCUUUGAUACUGGGUGUCUUGAGUGUGAGAGAGGUAUGUGGAACUCCGAGUGUAGAGGUGAAAUUCGUAGAUAUUCGGAAGAACACCAGUGGCGAAGGCGACAUACUGGCUCAUUACUGACGCUGAGGCUCGAAAGCGUGGGGGAGCAAACAGGAUUAGAUACCCUGGUAGUCCACGCCGUAAACGAUGAUUGCUAGUUGUCGGGAUGCAUGCAUUUCGGUGACGCAGCUAACGCAUUAAGCAAUCCGCCUGGGGAGUACGGUCGCAAGAUUAAAACUCAAGGAAUUGACGGGGGCGCGCA
rnacentral:rRNA from 1 species